UGUUUUUCAUCUCUCUCUCUCUCCACGGGACUGCAAGCUUCUCUGUGGAGCUCGGGCUGAGUGAGGGCACUGCCCUGCUGUGACAUCCCACGUCCUGUGGUCACGGGCUGCAUUUUUAGGCUGACGUGCCUGUGCGAAAGCAGUAAUUUUGGUAUAGGGAAUGUUUAUCUUGACUGAGCCAAGGGCAGUCUGUGGUAUCUUACUUGCAGGAGCCCUAGGGGAAGAAUUAACAUCGUGGGCACAGUUUGUGCCAGGCUUUGCUGUGUUACAGCCCGCAGACCUCACUGAGGGCAUUCUGGUGACAACAAAUCUUACUGCAUGUCAGUCGAAAAUGGAAAAGCCUCCUUUGACUUUUGAAGAAUUCCUACGGUCUCAAGACUUAACGGACUGGCCAAGACGUGUCUGUUUGGAUGAGCCUUAUUCUUUGGUGGAUAACUUAAGAAAAGACUGUUCCUUCAGUGCUGUCUCUAAGAGUCUGCAUGAACAUGCUCCAUUGACCGUCAGUUCACUCUCAGAUUUGGAGAAGAGAAUGAACACAUGCCUUAUUGAACUAAAGAAACAUGCUGAAACAAUAUUGUCAUUACAGUGUGGACCAGCGUCUCUAGAAGAACAGCUAAUUGCCCCUGAACAGAAGAUUCCUACUGAGCAAAUUGAUCCAGAACUUCUGACUCGGAAAAGUGAGAUGAGGAAAACAAAGGUUGCCAAACGCAUUACUGAGGAGUCAAAGGGUUGGCAUGUAGAGAGCUGUAAUUACCCUGGUUUCAAAAACCAACCUUUAGAAUUAUCAAGACAUUUGGAAGCUUCAAAACCUUGAGACUUAGUUAUAAAAGGUCGAUAUUGCCAAAAGAAAAAUGAAGACAGUGUCCAAGAGCUUCUAGGUGCCCUGUUAAUUCAUGCUAGAUAAUGGCUCUUCUUCAUUAGAAGGAAGUUCUUGACAUCUGAAGAAGCUUGUUUCUCUCAAAAUCAUCUAUUGCAGCAUUUCAGGAAUUUAUUUGUGCUGAUUUCUCCAAAAGUUUAAGAUGUAUCCUGAUCGUUUGUCUCAAAUCCUUUACUUCACUUUCUGUGAAGCAUUUCCUGAAUGCCUUAGCAGAUUUGAUGAUGAUUUUAUGGACAUAUUGGUAGACUUAAUUUUUCAAUGGAUAUCAGGUCUAAAACCAAGGAAACGUAUGGAAUAAAUAGAAUCUUGAAAGCUGUAAGGUUACCACUGUAAAAUGUAACAGUAAAGGUGCUACUGCUGACAUACCAGUGAGUGAAUCUGCCAGAUCCACAGCAGCUCGUUUCAGAAACAAGACAGAGCUGAUGGCCAUUCUUCUCCCACUGAAAUCAAUGACAUUACCAGAUACCCAGUUUCUCUCAGAACACAUGCUCUCCAGUGACUUUGAUCAGGAGUUCCCAAGCUUAGAUCAUCUGGUUACCACCAGCAGAGAUGCUGCUGACCUGUGAUGUGACCACUUAUGCAAAAGCAGAAGCUUCUUGGCAGGCCAGGUACACAUGUAUAAAAGAAGCACAUCUGUCACCUCCAACCCUCUUCCUGCAAACCUCUCACCCAUCAAACUGGGAUCCCCAGUUGCAUAUCUUCACCUACCGUUGCACUGUGUCUCACCUCACAAACUACAGCCUUUGCUAAACGUCUAAUCCCUUACUUACCUUUUGACCAUACAUAGCACCAACACCAAGCGAGGUGACAGUGACUGUGGCCACAUUCUGCUUCUUGGAAAGCCACCCCACCUUAUGAUCCCUGCUUCAUGCUGCCUUAGCCCUACUCGAUACUUUCCUGAAGCACCCACGUUGAGCUGUGCAGUGUGAGUUGGAGAACUUAACACUGAGCAGGUUAUUGGAGCUACAACCACACAGAGAAGCCAGCCACAACUGAUAAGAAAAAACUUUCUGUGUGAAACUGUUUACCUUAUGGCUUAGAUAAGUGCUUGUACACAAGCACGGUUAACAGCUGCCAUCAUCAUGUACCACUUUAAGUUGGCUUCGUACCAUAAUUUGGGAAUUUCUGACUUACUUAGACAAUAGGCAAAAAUAUGCAUAACAGUCAUAUUUAGAUCUGUUCUUUUCUCUUCCUGACAAUGUUCUAAUUUAAGAUCCUAGUUUCACUUAACCAGACAUUUUUACUGGAGAGAACUUCAUUCCCAUACAGCACUUUCAAGGACCAUGACUCCUCCGAAAUUUUUAUGACAUGAGCCAAAUUCUGCUAGCACUUGUAUUGGUAACAGGUCACAUACUUGGGGUUUGUUUUUAGACUAAUGUUUGUUUAAAAAAGUGAGGAAUACAUUUUGGAUUAUAAGCAUGUUCAUUCCAAAAAAACUGUGAAAAGAAUAAGGAGAAUCAGAUGGAAGAAUUUUACCUCUACUUUGUGCUGAUUAUAUAAUUUAUCAAAAAAAAAAAAAGAAAAAAAAAAGAAGAAAAAAAAAAAGGCUGUUCCACAGGCCUCCAACAGAUGCUGUGCUGUUAGAGCCAUGAAAAGUCAUUCAGGGAGAGGGUAAAGGCCUCGGGGGUGUGGUCCACAUCCUCUAGCACAUAUAUCCUCAGUCCUGGCCUGCAGAUAGCACAUCUGGUCCAGGCAUGGACCUGAUGGUUGGCCAAAACACAGGCUUACAAUAAUGCUCCUUUUUCAGCUUUAAUGUAAGCCUGUUUUCUUGCCAAAUUCAAAUCCUGCCAAAAUUUGGCCAAAGAUGUUUGCUCAAUUGUGCAAUAUCUUAAGUUUAUAUCCAACAACUCUUUGCAAAAACAAUUGCAUCGUGUUUUUAAUGUUUACAGGCAUUAACAAUAUUUAAUUUUAAGUAGAAUUUUACUGCUGACACUCUUGUGUUUUACAGUAAAUUACCUUAGAGAGGGUUUUUCCAUUAGCUUUUAGGGUCACGAGUCCUGCACAGCACACCAAAGCACUGGAGCUAGAAAGACCAGAACUUGGAGGGAUGGUUCCAUCUAGCAGACAAUUCAUUCCAGUUGGGUUAUUAAGACCAAAAUGUUCCUAACAAUGAAAAAAUAAACAAUCUCAGUUUCAAGUACAGACAGGCUCAGGCUUGCAAUUAUCCGAUACUUAGAAAGAGAAUCUUACUGCUAAGUUGCUGGAACCAAGGACCUGCUUCUGGUAUCUUCAAAAUAAAGCAAAAUUUUCAUUCUAUUCUUCAAGAACAAAGCCAAUGGUAGGGCUUCAGCCAAAGGUAUGUCUGCAAUUCCUGUGCUCAAACAUGUAUGGGCUGACAGAACUGUACCCCAAGUAGAAUUCAGGGUGGGCUAAAUGUCCUAGAAUUUACCAAGCUUCGUGGGUGGCUUUUACAGCACAGUACCAGAGAUUACCUCUACUUUUGUCCUUUUCUCCUCAGCUCCUCACUUUAUGCAUCUCAAAGUGCGUAAAGUCCACUUCCUGCCUUACUUCUAAUGCAGGCAUGUGGUAUUAGAGAGCCACAUCAUGCUCAUCAGGAACCAGUAGCCAUUUACCUGAGUUCAAAGCCAAAUACUCCUAUCUCCUGAGUUACCCAUGGUACUGGCACUGAGAAAACCACAGUGGUACUUGAAAGAUGGUAUGCUUUGCAAGGAACCAGCAGUGAUAGUAUCUGUCGUGCUAUUUCUAGAAUAAAUAGUGAAAUAUUUUUACAUACAUGAUAAAUUAUCACAGAUGAUACAGUUAGCAGAGAAGUCAUAAAUCCUUGUGCACAUAUUUUUUAAUUACUCAUCAGUUACUUUUUUUUUUUUUUAAUUUACCAUAACUCUAAAAUUUCACUCUUGUUACUUAGAAGAAAACAUGCAAAAUACAUACAAAAAAUAUUUGAAUAUAUAUAGGGGAAAUGUGAAUAGAUACAUUCUGAUACAGAUUUAUAUGUUGAUAAACUAUGUUAUAAUAACCAGAAAAAUACUGUCAGUGAUCAGAGAAACAGCUGUGUUUCCAUACAGAAAUGCCCACCUUCAAAAGAUCUCUCCUGAAAUAACUUCAACCAUAAAUACCAAAGGUAGAGAUCAGAAAACACAAAGCACGGCCUUUAAUGUUUUCUGCUAUCGCUUCAGAUUAAAAUAUCCCUUUCUACACACAGAAGGGAAUUCAUACCUGAAAUACUACUUCUGCCCUUCAUGAAGAACACUAGACAGGCUUGUUCAAAAACAGAAAAAAUGCUUGAGUAACCAGAAACUGAUCCACAGUUUCUGGACUGUCUUGAAUGUGAAUCAGGCUUGCAAACUUAUCACGCAAUGUUUAAAUAGAAAACGUACUUCAGUCUCAAAAAUGAAAAUGGACUUUGCCAAGUUCUGCAAUAGUUCUGUCCCAAAAGGAUAGCAUGUUCAACUUAAUAUAAACAGAUUAUCCCGCCGGACCCUCUAAAUACUUGUAUUUCAGCGUUUCUUAAGUCUGUAACAUUUGUGCUCGUUUUCUGCCAGCACUAGAGUCUGAAAACCUGCUUUGCAAAUUAACCUUCAAGUAUAAAAGUUUGUCCUUAGGAAACAAAUCUCAGUAGCAGACUGCAAAACAAGUCAAUUGGUCAUGCUAGCCUUAAUACAAGAAAAGAUAAACUGCAAAGAAACUUAAUCUGUAUCUCUACCUCUAGAGUCAAUGCAAUUUAAAUGCAUAUUACAAAAUGGAGAAUACUCAUGUUACUGCAAACAUAAGUAAUUUAUGGGGGGCAGGGACGUGCUAAACAUGGUGGGGGGAUCUAUUUAGGAGCUGUGGAUAACAAUAAAGUGAUUUGGUCCAAAUACCUUCUUCUGAAGGUAUAAGUGCCAGGUCUGAUGCAGGCUUUUUUGGCUGUUUGCAGUGCUUAUCUAUUGGACCAUCCUGUGGGGUAACUCAGAUGGCCCACCUAGAGGCAAGUUUCAAAAGCACAUUUUUCCAUAAUUUGAGCUGGCUGUGGAGACCUGACCUUGUCAUCACUGUUUAUCCCAUCUGCCCCUCCAGAAAAGUCACUGGACUGACACUAGGUUGAGAAGUUACUGUUUUUUUUAACUCAAAGGGCCAUGAAUCACCUGCAAAAGACAGGUGAGAUUUCUAAGAAGUCCCAGUUCUGAGUUCAGGCUGCCUCCCAGGACAAUACUGACGAUUAGCAGUUGGUUUCACAAGCAGUUCAGUCUUCAAGCCAGUCUGGAGACAGGCUAGCUCACAGAGGAGAAGAUAAAGCUCAAGUGAGCAGACAGGAAAAUGUCUGUCUGUUCACCGUUCCAGCCUUUACCGUACGCAUGCCGUUUCCUGCAUAGCUGUACACUUAACUCACUUAGGAAAUUUUGAAAUUCCCGUUCAGAUUCCUCACCGUAAGUCUUGAAUAAGUAAUGAUUCUUACUGGAUUAUUCCUUCAGUAUGCAGUUUAUUUACUUUUAUGAUUUCUUUUGCCUACUGCAUGAGUCAGCUUCACUCAGUUGCUGAGCAUGAGUUGUAGGUUUCCAACAUUAAUGGAAAUUAAUUGCAUUUUUUAAAAUGUUUCCAUGGGAGAAAAAGGACUAAAAUAUGACCUUUGAAGCCUCUGAACCUUUCAAAAGCAAACUUUAAUUACGUGAUUCCACUGGGAAACAUUCUUCUUUACUCUAAAAUAUAGAAAUGCCAUCUUGAUUCAUGACUUUACUAAAUAAGUAACUAUUUGUUACCAUAACGUAUGUAAUAAAUAUGAAUACAGCAUUCUGCAGUAUUUUAAAACAAAACCACUCAUAUCUCCUCUUCAAAUAAUCGUAUAUUAAAAUAAAGAGAGAAUGCAAGGAAGUAUGUUGAAGGUGAAUAGAUAUGCUUUUCAUAUUUUACUUCUGUGUUAAUUUCAUAAGUUAAAUGAAUUUGGCUUACCUGAAUACCCUUCAGUCCACACAAGAAGUAGUUAUGCCACUGAGGUUUGCUUUUGUUAAUCUGAAUGUUAUUGACACUAGUACUGAAAUCCCUGCAAAAACAGAAAAACCUUGUGGCUUUAACUUGUCAGUACCUUUCGAGUGAAAAAAACAUGGCUUAUUACUGCCACCUGCUGAUGCACAAAAGCAUUUCUAUGUUAAUCAUUUGUUUCAGUAGAAUAUUGGGUUUUUCAUACUGAUCUUCACUAGUCAGUUCUAAAGUGUAUUUUAGAUAAAAGUAUAAAAUUUUCCUUAAUAUAUACACAUUUUUGACAUAAAUUCAGAAAAUUGCCCUUAGCACCCUUAGUCAAGGCAGCAUGCCGUCCAUCACAUUUGUAUAAGUGCUCUUGAAUCUCUUUGAGAAAUAUAAAUCUAAGUAAUCACUUCUGUCAAUCCUAGAAUAGAGAUAAAUAUUCUUCAGGCUUUCUUGUGAUCCCUGCUCAGGAAUUCAUCUUCAUUUGCUUUGAAUGACAGGUCACUAAAACAGGCAUAGUGCUGCAAAAUUCUAUUAUGUAUGUUACAGGAUUUAAUUAAAAUAAUAGUUUAUCCAUUUCCAGGAUUUUUUAUCUAUCUCCAGGAUAAUGCUGAUAAUGGUUUUCCUACUGAAUUUUGAAAUAAUGAAAGUGUUAAGAUGGUAAACUUGAAUGUCUCUAAAGGAACCAAUGCUACAGAUAGGUUCUCUGGAAAUGUACAUGGAGUGAUGUGCAGAAGCCUUGGAGAUACGUGCAUUAAUCAUCACAAAAGGCAGACUGUUUACAAGUCUAUAUUGUCAAACACCCAAUAACUGUAUCUACCUGAAGCCAGUGCAGCAGAUGUCCAACAGAGAAAAAGUAAAGGCACUGAGAAUGUCAGAAAAAGCUAAAAAAAAUUAUGCACACCUGGCAGGCUGCAAUUUUUGUGUUCAUGUAAACGUACAGUCUAAUGCUAGCUAUGUAUUGCCAGCAUACAACCUACAGAUCUUACACUUCAAGUAUCAACUUAGAGUGACCACUUUGCUGCUUAUAUAUUCAAUUUCAAUAUUCAGUAUGGUACAAAGCUAUCAGAGAUUGCUGUACAGUUUAAUAAGUUGCUCUUUUUCAAUCGGAAUGGUUCAGAAUAGUGCCACUUACAGGACUUCAUCAACAGUGCAGCACUGAAGAGUUGUACAAAGAUAAGUGCAAAUUAUUGGUGAUUGCAAUGUAAUAGGAAAGAUCUGAAAAUGAGUGUUAAGAUUACAAUACAAGUAAAGUUCAAGAACAGCUGUAAAUUCUUCCAGUUUUGAUUCAUGUGUUUGGAACAGUCUUCCAGAUAAUUAAAAAAGAAAUACUGUUUUUCUUAUAGCUUUUAAACAAAAUGAAAGAAACAAAGUACAGUAAAAUAUGAUUGUCAAAAUUCAUGAAGAAUAAAAUAAUCCUAUGCUUGCU